GACGAACGCUGGCGGCGUGCUUAACACAUGCAAGUCGAACGCAGAACCCGCUAGGUUGGGGGAUGAGUGGUAGACGGGGGAGUGAGACUAACACGACCUGCCCCCGGCUCUGAGAUAGCUACAAGAAAGGGAGGCUGAUACCGAAAGUGAACGCUGUCCGCAUGCUCUGGGGGUGGAAAGGAUUUCCGGCUGUGGUUGGGCCCGCGGCCUAUCAGCUUGUUGGUUGGGUAGUGGGUUACCAAGGCGGCGACGGGUGGCCGGCCUGAGAGGGUGACCGGCCACAAUGGGCCUGCGAGACGGCCCAGACUCCUACGGGCGGCAGCAGUGGGGAAUAUUGCGCAAUGGGCGGACGCCUGACGCAGCGACGCCGCGUGCGGGAUGCUGGCCUUCGGGUGGUAAACCUCUUUCAGCGGGGACGAAGCGAUAGUGACGGUACCUGCUCAGGAAGCCCCGGCUAACUACGUG
rnacentral:rRNA from 1 species